rnacentral:lncRNA from 1 species
CAGGCCCCCGAGAAAGUUAAAUAAACAGAAUACGAAGAAGAAAGGAUGAAAAAAUAACAGGAAGUUUCGAAACUAACCUAGAUCGACCCCAGGAGCACAGGGGGACGGUGAGGACGAUGGAGGUCAACUCGGAGAACGUCUAAGGCCGGGAAGGAUGCUAGAGGAAACUGGAGCUCUCGGGGAAGAAGAGGGGAACCGAGGGAUUCUCUCAAGCAAAGUGAAACCCAUGAAGGAGGAGAACAUAUUUAAAUAGACCCCG